GACAAUCUUGAAGCACAGCAUAGAUAUCUGACAUGGAGAGCCGAAAAGGAUCCGAGACAAGGUGUUUUGAAGAAAUUGAUAGGUGACACACUUGCCAAGGAUUUAUUAAGAAGCUUUCUCUUUAAUGGAGUCAACGAACUAGGAAGCAAAAAGUUCCAUGACUAUUUUCUACA